rnacentral:rRNA from 1 species
UACGUAGGGUGCGAGCGUUGUCCGGAUUUAUUGGGCGUAAAGAGCUCGUAGGCGGUUUGUCGCGUCGGCCGUGAAAUCUCCACGCUUAACGUGGAGCGUGCGGUCGAUACGGGCAGACUUGAGUUCGGUAGGGGAGACUGGAAUUCCUGGUGUAGCGGUGAAAUGCGCAGAUAUCAGGAGGAACACCGGUGGCGAAGGCGGGUCUCUGGGCCGAUACUGACGCUGAGGAGCGAAAGCGUGGGGAGCGAACGGG